rnacentral:rRNA from 1 species
CCAAUAGCGUAUAUUAAAGUUGUUGCAGUUAAAAAGCUCGUAGUUGAAUUUCGGGGUUAAUAGGUUGGUCGUGCCUCUGGUAUGUACUCGCCUUACUGGUUCCUCCUUCUUGAAGAACUGUAAUGCCAUUAAUUUGGUGUUGCAGGGAAACAGGACUGUUACUUUGAAAAAAUUAGAGUGUUUAAAGCAGGCCAACGCCUGAAUACAUUAGCAUGGAAUAAUGAAAUAGGACGUUGAUCCUAUUUUGUUGGUUUCUAGGAUUGACGUAAUGAUUAAUAGGGAUAGUUGGGGGCAUUAGUAUUCAAUUGUCAGAGGUGAAAUUCUUGGAUUUAUUGAAGACUAACUACUGCGAAAGCAUUUGCCAAGGAUGUUUUCAUUAAUCAAGAACGAAAGUUAGGGGAUCGAAGACGAUCAGAUACCGUCGUAGUCUUAACCAUAAACUAUGCCGACUAGGGAUCGGAUGAUGUUAAUUUUUUAAUGACUCAUUCGGCGCCUUACG